rnacentral:lncRNA from 1 species
GAUAAAGUUCACUUUUAAACUGAACUAAAUAAGGUAUCAUCUGAGAGAAAACAAUGGUUAAAUGCAAUACAAUGUAAAGGUUUUACUAGCGAAAUGAAAAUUCUCCUGUCCUGUCUGCUGUAAUCAUUUUAUAUCUGGAAAACCAGCCGACUUAAUCGAUAAUAACAAUCUCCAGAUUGGGUUCCUUCAAUAAAUAUGGUCUAUAAACACAAUGAAAUAAGUUCCCCAAAAUCUAAAAUGGAGUGGUAUCAAAGGAGAAUUAAAGGAAAAAAUAUUCAUAUUGAAAUUAUUUAUAAGGCACUGGACUGUCUUAAAUUCUACAAUAAUACUAGAAUCAGCUGAGAGAAAUGGUGUA